rnacentral:rRNA from 1 species
AUUGAACGCUGGCGGCAUGCCUUACACAUGCAAGUCGAACGGCAGCAUGGAAGAGCUUGCUCUUCUGAUGGCGAGUGGCGAACGGGUGAGUAAAGCAUCGGAACGUACCGUGUAGUGGGGGAUAACGUAGCGAAAGUUACGCUAAUACCGCAUACGCACUGAGGUGGAAAGCAGGGGAUCGCAAGACCUUGCGCUAUACGAGCGGCCGAUGACAGAUUAGCUAGUUGGUAGGGUAAAGGCCUACCAAGGCGACGAUCUGUAGCGGGUCUGCGAGGAUGGUCCCACACACUGGGACUGAGACACGGCCCAGACUCCUACGGGGGGCAGCAGUGGGGAAUUUUGGACAAUGGGGGAAACCCUGAUCCAGCCAUGCCGCGUGAGUGAAGAAGGCCUUCGGGUUGUAAAGCUCUUUCGGCUGGGAAGAAAUCGCACAGGCUAAUACUCUGUGUGGAUGACGGUACCAGCACAAGAAGCACCGGCUAACUACGUGCCAGCCGCCGCCGUAA